GCCGGGCGUGGUGGUGCACGUCUGUAAUCCCAGCUACUGGGGAGGCUGAGGUCGGAGAAUUGCUUGAACCCGGGAGGCAGAGAUUGCAGUGAGCCAAGAUCAUGCCACUGCACUCCAGCCUGGGUGACAAAGCGAGACUCUGUCUCGA
ensembl:misc_RNA Metazoa_SRP Metazoan signal recognition particle RNA